ACUCAAAUGAAUUGACGGGGGCCCGCACAAGCGGUGGAGCAUGUGGUUUAAUUCGAUGCAACGCGAAGAACCUUACCUACUCUUGACAUCCUCGGAAGGCUCUGUAAUUGGAGCUGUGCCUUCGGGAACCGAGUGACAGGUGCUGCAUGGCUGUCGUCAGCUCGUGUCGUGAGAUGUUGGGUUAAGUCCCGUAACGAGCGCAACCCUUGUCCUUAGUUACCAGCACGUUAUGGUGGGGACUCUAAGGAGACUGCCGGUGAUAAACCGGAGGAAGGUGGGGAUGACGUCAAGUCAUCAUGGCCUUUAUGAGUAGGGCUACACACGUGCUACAAUGGUCGGUACAAAGAGAAGCGAAGCGGCGACGUGAAGCCAAUCUCGAAAAGCCGAUCGUAGUCCGGAUUGCAGUCUGCAACUCGACUGCAUGAAGUUGGAAUCGCUAGUAAUCGCAAAUCAGAAUGUUGCGGUGAAUACGUUCCCGGGCCUUGUACACACCGCCCGU
rnacentral:rRNA from 1 species